rnacentral:miRNA from 1 species
CCAUCGACCGUUGACUGUGCC